AUGCUGCCGACUUCUGUCUCUUGUGUGUGUGUGUGUCUGAUUAAGAAGGAAGGAAGCACUUUAGGUCUCACCAUCUCGGGCGGAACAGACAAGGAUGGCAAACCACGCGUCUCCAACCUGCGGCCGGGUGGACUGGCGGCUAGGAGCGAUCAGCUCAAUGUGGGCGACUACAUCAAGUCAGUCAAUGGGAUCAACCUGACCAAGCUGCGUCACGACGAGAUCAUCAGUCUGCUAAAAAACGUAGGCGAGCGCGUCGUGCUGGAAGUGGAGUAUGAACUGCCUUCACCUGACAGUACCUCAGGUGUUAUUUCCAAGACAAUCGAGAUCUGUUUGCAGAAAGAGGGCAACAGUUUCGGCUUUGUUAUGCGAGGUGGAUCCCAUGAGGACUGGCACAGAUCUCGUCCUUUGGUGGUCACACACGUCCGACCUGGUGGUCCUGCUGACAGGGAAGGGACCCUAAAAGCAGGCGAUCGGAUCUUAAGUGUGGAUGGUGUGGUUUUACACAGUGCUAUUCUGAGCGAUGCUCUUACAGUACUGACUCAGUGUGGCCAGGAGGCCCUGUUCCAGAUAGAGUAUGAUGUCUCCAUCAUGGACUCGAUGACAAACGCUUCAGGUCCUCUGCUGGUGGAGAUUGCCAAGGCGCCCGGAGCCAGUCUGGGAAUCACUCUGACCACUGCCAUGCACAGGAACAAACAGGCCAUCGUCAUCGACAAGAUCAAGCCCGCCAGUGUGGUGGACAGGUCUGGAGCGUUACACGUGGGUGAUCAUAUCCUGUCUAUAGACGGCACCAGCACAGAGCACUGCUCCGUCCUGGAGGCCACGCAGCUGCUGGCCAGCACUACUGAUCAGACCAAACUAGAGAUCCUCCCCGCACACCAAACACGCCUGCCUGGGAAACCCCAGGACACUGUGAAAGUUCAGAAAAGUGACCACCCGCACUGCUGGGACCCCUGUGUGAACUACUGCCAUUCUCAACAUCCUGGCCACUGUAAGACGUCGACAUGGACCUCUGCUUCCAGUAACCCAUCCACGGUAGUCUGCACUAACUUCUCUCCUGGGUCCACAACCACAUCAGGCAUGACCAGCCAGGGUUCCAGCACGCUGCCCCGGGCUGCUCCUCCCAUGAGCCCACGGAACUCCAUGCUAAAGAGACGACAAAGGAAAAAAGAGCACAAAAGCUCCUCUGUGUCUUUAGCCUCAAGUUCUGUGGGCCCUGGUGGUCAGAUCGUCCACACCGAGUCCAGUGAGGUCACUCUGAGAGGAGACCCUCUAAAUGGGUUUGGGGUUCAGCUGCAAGGUGGAAUAUUUGCGACAGAGACCCUCUCUGCACCCCCUCUUAUCCGCUUCAUAGAACCGGACAGCUCGGCCGAAAGGUACGUCCCAAAUAUUAACUCAACCGUGUACACAAAACACAGCCAUCCAUCCAGUAAGAAACCAGGAGAGCCUCUUAUCAUAUCUGACAUUAAAAAAGGCAGCAUGGCACACAGAACAGGAACUCUGGAGCCCGGAGACAAGCUGCUGGCCAUAGAUAACAUCCGUCUGGAGAACUGCUGCAUGGAGGACGCCGUCCAGAUCCUCCAGCAGAGCGAAGACCUGGUCAAACUCAAAAUCCGCAAGGAUGAGGACAACUCAGACGAGCAGGAGUCGUCCGGCUCCAUCAUCUACACGGUGGAGCUGAAGCGCUACGGCGGCCCGCUGGGCAUCACCAUCUCCGGCACCGAGGAGCCCUUUGACCCCAUCAUCAUCUCAGGCCUGACCAAGAGGGGUCUCGCUGAGAGGACUGGAGCCAUUCACGUUGGCGAUCGUAUUCUGGCCAUCAACAGCGUCAGUCUGAAGGGGAAGCCGCUCAGUGAAGCCAUACACCUGCUGCAGAUGGCAGGAGAAACCGUCACCCUCAAGAUCAAGAAGCAGACCGACAGUACGACUCACACUAUACACUACUGGAUGCACCUCAGCGAUAACGAGGACGACAUGACCGACUCGCAGAAGACCAACAAACUGUCGGACAUUUAUUCCACCACCAUCCCCAGCGUGGAUUCGGCCAUGGAGUCGUGGGACGGCUCGGGAAUCGACGGCGGUUACAGCAGCCAAGGUGGCUACACGCAUCAGGCCGCUGGGAUUGCGCUACACCCUCACGAGUGGCGUAACAGCAAGCAGAGGAACAGCACACCUCCUCCGUCCCGCCACAAGAACUAUCCCUUCAGUGACGCGGGAUUCAGUGAGGACGACUGGGACAAAGCUGCCGGGUCCUGGGCUGGUGCGCCGCAUGCCGACGGCCUCAUGAUGGAGCAGGAGGACAGUUUCUGGUGCCAGGCCCUGGAAGACCUGGAGACCUGCGGCCAGUCCGAGCUCCUGCGCGAGAUCGAGGAAUCAAUGUUUGUGGUUGCCCACGGCGAGACGGUCAGCCAACCUCACCUCAGCCCUCUGAGAAAAGCCCCACAUCUCCUCAACGAAACCAAGAACAAGAGCACGCUCCGUAUGUCCGAGAAGACCUGGGAGUCACGGAGGAUCAAAGAAGAGAUCCAGGACAUCCUGUCGCCCACACCGUUAGAGCUGCACAAGGUGACUGUGAUGAAGGACCCAGAGAGCGAUGACUUUGGAUUCAGCGUAUCGGACGGGUUCUUGGAAAAGGGUGUUUGCGUGAACAUGAUCAGGCCUGAAGGUCCGGCGGACCGUGCUGGACUCAAACCGUACGACAGGAUCCUUCAGGUGAACCACGUGCGGACGCGAGAUUUCGACUGCUGCUUAGCUGUGCCCCUCAUCACAGAGGCCGGAGACAAACUUGAGUUGGUGAUUAGCCGAAACCCAUUAGCACAGCUGGGUGUUGCCCAGCCCCACGACUGCCAGCCACACUUCAACCCCGUAGGCCAUUCCCGUGAGCACCAGACCAGCACGCUAGACCUGUGACCACUGGGUAACUCAGACUAUGACCACACCGGACCAUUUGUUGCAACAGACUAUCAGAAGGAGCCAUGAUUCACUGGUUUCAUUACAAAACUCAAAUGAACUGAAAUAUCCAGAUUAUAAGGAGUGAUCGUGGAAACUGUACAACAAAAGAUUUGAGCCAGUUUUCAGUACAAAACUCGAAAGGAUCUGAGCCAGUUUUUUAAAAACAGAACAAAACAAAACAAAAAUAUUGGACUACUACAAUGCAUACACCAUACAUGGACUUCGCCCAUCAAAUUUUUUUUUUUUACUAUGGAGCCUAGCACAUGAUAUGGGGGGAAAAUAUUAAUAUAAUGGCCACAAAAUAAGAAUUAAUUCUCAUGACUUAUUCUCCAAGUUUUCGUAAAUCGUGGCCACAAUGUACUGAUUAGGAGCCAUGAUUCACUGGUUUCAUUACAAAACUCAAAUGAACUGAAAUAUCCAGAUUAUAAGGAGUGAUCGUGGAAACUGUACAACAAAAGAUUUGAGCCAGUUUUCAGUACAAAACUCGAAAGGAUCUGAGCCAGUUUUUUAAAAACAGCACAAAACAAAACAAAAAUAUUGGACUACUACAAUGCAUACACCAUACAUGGACUUCGCCCAUCAAAAUUUUUUUUUUUACUAUGGAGCCUAGCACAUGAUAUGGGGGGAAAAUAUUAAUAUAAUGGCCACAAAAUAAGAAUUAAUUCUCAUGACUUAUUCUCCAAGUUUUCGUAAAUCGUGGCCACAAUGUACUGAUUCAGUUAACCGUGGUUAUGUUCUACUGAUUCAUUCCCUUGUUAUUUUAAAACAUGGUCAGAUAGUACUGAUUCAUUUUCUUGUUUUAGUAAGUUAUGGCCACGUAGUACUAAUUCAUUCCCUUGUUUUGGUAAACCGUGGUCUAAACGAAGGUAUGAAUUAGUGUAAUGUGACUGCAUUCAGCUAAAACGAGGAAACAUUUAAUUUAAUUCUUAAUUUGUGGCCAAGAUGUAGAUUUUUUCCCCUUACAGUUUUUUUUUUCUUUUCUUUUCUUUUUUUUGUUUGGUUUUAUUUUAUUAAUUUUUGUUUCGAUUUUUUUUUCUCUCGGAUAAAAACAUACUGUGUCCAAACGUUUACAAAAAAGAAAAAGAAUUCUGCUUUUGAUGUAGAUCGCCAUUAGACGUAAACAUUUUUAAAUGUUUCUUAUGUUUCCAAUUUCUAGUAGCAAGUGUUUUUACUUCCAAAACAAACUACAAAUUAAGCUUUAUUUUUGUUUUAGUCCUGGAUGAGUCACUGUAGGAAUACCUUCAGGCACACAUUGUCCUUUCUCACAAACACAUACACUACUACUAUAAACAGACAAAACACCACCAUUCUUUGUUCCCUAAACGCAUAAACAUUAUAGACUCCCUACAAAUAAACUUCAAUUUGCCUCUGUGUCA
ensembl:lncRNA glutamate receptor-interacting protein 2-like